rnacentral:rRNA from 1 species
CCGCAUGACUAGCUCUCUCGCAUGAUAGUAUUUCUCUUAUAUUCAUCGAUGUCGUAAGGGAAAAUAAUGAUAUUACCUUACUAUGAGUGUCGUCCAAAGCUGGUGCCAGAAGACUCGGUAAGACCAGAGACGCAAACGUUAAUCAUCUUAAACAGGCGUAAAGGGUUUGUAGGCAGCUUUCAUAAGAUUGUUUCUUACAAAAAUAAAGAAGUGGUCUGAUUGAAAGCUAGAAUCAAAAAGAGGUUAUAGUGUAUAACGCCUAGAGGAGGGCUGAUAUCCUUAGAUCCUAGGCAGAAUACUUAGGGCGAAGGCCACUCUCCACUAAUGAUUGACGCUGAGAAACGAAGGUAAGGGUAGGAAAUAGGAUUAGAUACCCCGGUACUCCUUUCUGUAAACGAUGAAUGGUAGUCAUUAGUAAAAUUAAAAAUUACUAGAGACGAAGUUAACACAAUAACCAUUCCGCCUUGUGAGUACUACUGCAAAGUAGAAAACAAAAAAAUUAGUCGGUCUCGAAGCAAACGGAGUGAAGCAUGUUAUUUAAUUAAA